GGAUUUAUACCAUUCGUGGAACAUGUCAUUUAAUUCGUAAAUACACGCAAAACCUUACCAACUUUUGAAUAAUUUUGUAUUCUAAUGAAGAAAUUUGUUAUGUUAGAAAUUACAGGUACUGCAUGGCUGUCGUCAGCUCGUGUCUUGAGAUGUUAGGUUUAGUCCAGUAACGAGCGAAACCCUUCUUCUUUGUUGCAAAAGACUAUUUACUCGGUUGUAUCAAUUGAGUUAUAUCUGUGUACUUAAAGAGUAUUGCCUAUGAUAUAUAGGAUGAAAGAAAGGAUGACGUCAAGUCUUCAUGGUCCUUAUAAGUUGGGCUAUCGAUGU
rnacentral:rRNA from 1 species